rnacentral:rRNA from 1 species
GUCUUUUAGAGUAAUAAUUUAAAGUCUAACCUGCCCACUGAAUUAAUUUGAAGGGCCGCGGUAUUUUGACUGUGCAAAGGUAGCAUAAUCAUUAGUCUCUUAAUUAGAGGCUUGUAUGAAUGGUUGGAUGAAGCAUUAACUGUCUCAAAUUAAUUUAAUUAGAAUUUAAUUUUUAAGUUAAAAAGCUUAAAUAUAGUUAAAGGACGAGAAGACCCUAUAGAUCUUUAUAAUAAUUUAUAUUUAAAUUAAUUAGUUAAUAAUAAAUUAUUAUAUAAUUUAUUAUUUUAUUGGGGUGAUGUAUAAAUUUAAUAAACUUUAUUUAUUAAUAACAUUAAUUUAUGAAUAAUUGAUCCAUUAAUAAUGAUUAAAAGAUUAAGUUACCUUAGGGAUAACAGCGUAAUUUUUUUAGAGAGUUCAUAUCGAUAAAAAAGAUUGCGACCUCGAUGUUGAAUUAAAGGUAAAUUUUAGGUGCAGAAGCUUAAAAUUUUGGUCUGUUCGACCAUUAAAAC